rnacentral:sRNA from 1 species
GUUUAUUAUCAUUGGCAACGGGAUUGUUAAAGGAGAUUGCAAUCAUUCGACACACGCUCUAAGUGUUUCUUAGUGUUAGUGAUCUUGCUCACAUGUACUUACUCGGGGUGGAAAACAAUUUGUUAUUUGUGGAUGCAUAAAUAACAAGCUAUUGUAAUAUAUCUGUACGAAGUAAUAACGAUUGUGCAAGCUAGUGUUUUGUUUUUGGUCUUGCAAUUACAACAACAUCAUUCUGAAACAAGUGGGAGAUGCUGGCAAAGGCUUUUGGAAAGUUGUGCU